UCCGGUGGUUCUGAAUGGAAGGGCCAUCGCUCAACGGAUAAAAGGUACUCCGGGGAUAACAGGCUGAUACCGCCCAAGAGUUCAUAUCGACGGCGGUGUUUGGCACCUCGAUGUCGGCUCAUCACAUCCUGGGGCUGAAGUAGGUCCCAAGGGUAUGGCUGUUCGCCAUUUAAAGUGGUACGCGAGCUGGGUUUAGAACGUCGUGAGACAGUUCGGUCCCUAUCUGCCGUGGGCGCUGGAGAAUUGAGGGGGGCUGCUCCUAGUACGAGAGGACCGGAGUGGACGCAUCACUGGUGUUCGGGUUGUCAUGCCAAUGGCAUUGCCCGGUAGCUAAAUGCGGAAGAGAUAAGUGCUGAAAGCAUCUAAGCACGAAACUUGCCCCG
rnacentral:rRNA from 1 species